UGGGGAAUAUUGGACAAUGGGCGCAAGCCUGAUCCAGCAAUGCCGCGUGUGUGAAGAAGGCCUGCGGGUUGUAAAGCACUUUAAGCAGGAAAGAAGGGGUGGGAGUUAAUACCUUUCAUCAUUGACGUUACCUGCAGAAUAAGCACCGGCUAACUCCGUGCCAGCAGCCGCGGUAAUACGGAGGGUGCGAGCGUUAAUCGGAAUUACUGGGCGUAAAGCGCGCGUAGGCGGUUUGAUCAGUCCGUCGUGAAAGCCCCGGGCUUAACCUGGGAACUGCGGUGGAUACUGUCGGGCUAGAGUGUGGUAGAGGGGAGUGGAAUUUCCGGUGUAGCAGUGAAAUGCGUAGAGAUCGGAAGGAACACCAGUGGCGAAGGCGGCUCCCUGGACUAACACUGACGCUGAGGUGCGAAAGCGUGGGGAGCAAACA
rnacentral:rRNA from 1 species